UAUAUUUGCCUUUAGGUGACUGAUGCAGUUUAGGCGAGAAAACGCUUGCAGAAAAUUCCGCCCCACGCCUCGUCUGACACCAGCCUAAGCCCCAUCUGGCACCGGAAGAGAAUCACUGCACCUUCCAAUAGAGCCAUCACACCCGCAACCCCCUGGAACACCCACCCGGCCCCGGGAGUGCACAGCCAUGCUGCCGAAAACCCACUAAAGGGAAACCAAACCGGGAGAAAACAGAGUUGGUGGCGACGCACAAGCUAAAUGCGAGAUUUCUCCCCAGCGCAGCCCUAUCGGAGGCAGGCAAUUAAACGCUAAUUAAUUAGCACGGGCCGCUCCCUGUGUGUUUUGCCUCGGAAAUAUCUCUGGUUUGCAUCAACCCAGCUCGCGAGAUGCCAUCUCCUCCCGACUGGGCGAAGGCUGCAGCUGAUUGCGCGAGGCUGUGAUGCUGGCGCCUACCCCCCGCUCCUGAUCUGCAUAUGUAAUGCAGCCAUACUUAAUGACUCAAAGGAUCAAUGGUCUCAGUACAUGUGCAGAGAGCCAGGACUCAGUGAGUGCAAAGCCCAGG